UGCCUACGGGGCGCAGCAGUGGGGAAUAUUGCACAAUGGGGGAAACCCUGAUGCAGCGACGCCGCGUGAGUGAAGAAGUAUUUCGGUAUGUAAAGCUCUGUCAGCAGGGAAGAAAAUGACGGUACCUGACUAAGAAGCCCCGGCUAACUACGUGCCAGCAGCCGCGGUAAUACGUAGGGGGCAAGCGUUAUCCGGAUUUACUGGGUGUAAAGGGAGCGUAGGCGGUUCAGCAAGUCAGAAGUGAAAGCCCGGGGCUCAACUCCGGGACUGCUUUUGAAACUGUUGAACUAGAUUGCAGGAGAGGG
rnacentral:rRNA from 1 species